rfam:Raoultella planticola strain GCSL-DIFS-295 CFSAN029441_contig0127, whole genome shotgun sequence.
CAAGCAUGAAUGCUGCUAUUUUCCGCUUCUUUUUUUACUUUAGCACCUGAACUCAGGAGGCUAGCGCGUGAAAGAAGAAACGGAAAACAGCGCCAGAAAGCCUCCCACUGUGGAGGCUUUUUUCGU